UUUAAAUAUAUAAAUGAGUUUACAAAAACAAAUAUAUUGUUUGAAAGAACGAACAUACACUGAUAAUGUAAAUCCUCAAUAUGUUACAACAAAAAACGGAAGAUUAAUGAUAAAAGCCGCGUGUGCUUCAUGUGUAAAUUGAAAUUUAAGUUUGUUAAACAAGGAGAUUAAUUAUGGGUAACACCUUAAAGUCUGUCUCAAAAAAGUGUUUAUCCUUUUCUCUUAUAACAUACCUUAGGAAUCAACUUUUAAUUAGUUGUAGCCUAAAAUCAAUAGUGAAACGCAGGAAGUUAUUACGUUGUUCCGUAUCACGUGGAUACUUUCCUUCGGGAACGGUCUAAAGGUCAAGAGUGAAACGCAGACAGUUAUCACGUCAUCCAGUAUCCAGAACGUUCGUCUAGACUACAGAACUUCCGCCUAGUCUAAAAAUCAAUAGUGAAAUAGAUGUUAAAUGCAUCAUUUAGCACGGCUGAAACCUUUGCUAUAGAAAUCUCCAAAUAUAAAAACAAUCCUGAGGAUUUUCUUAUUCAUAAAAAAGGAGAAGUUAUUACGCAGCAUGAUUACAAUAAAAUGUGCAAUCUUAAAAACAGAAUUGAGUACAUUUCUAACAUUCAUAAUUUUAUUAGACAUCAUGAUCAACAACAAAAAGUUACAGAAGACGAAAUAAAAUUUUUGGGAAUUAAAAAAAAAUGAAUACUUAAGUACAGAUGAAUUUAAAAAUCUUGACGUUUUAAAACAAAAGGGAUUAUUGAAAGAGAAGAAAUCAAUUCAGCAGCUUCCAGAUGUACCACAAAACUUACCUCAACGAAAUAAUAAUAAUAAUAAUAAAAAAAACAAAAAACAAAACAUACGACGAAGUCAAAAAAGAGGUAGAAAAAUCAUAUUCAAACAAUCGGAUCUUAACCGGAGAUGUUGAUUUGGAGCUUGAAAACACCGAAAAAUAUAUUGAAACUUUAAAAACACUAGACAGACAUACAAUGAGUGCGGGAAGAGCUAAGUUACUUUAUAACAUUCAAAGAGGAGAAGUUUUUAAAAAAAAUCAAGGAUUUUUAGAAAGGUGGAUAUUUUAAAAAUUAAAAGAAAAUGGUAUACCUUAUAAAAUUUCACACUGUAAAUUUUCAA